rnacentral:lncRNA from 1 species
UAAUGUUUACUAUCAAUUUUUUGACCAUUGAACAUCUAAAGUUUAGUAGAGUUGGUGAAAAAGAAAUAAUUCAAAGGUGAAAAAAUUGAUAGAAAAUAUUAUUCAUAUACAAUGAAUAGUAUGCCAGUGAUAUAUAUAUAUAUAUAGUGUAGAACUACUAUACUAUCAAAAGCAUAGAGAAUUUAAUGUUUUCGACUUUUUGACCCUUUGAUCAAGAAUUUUACAAUUUGGAUGAUUACUAUCCCCCGUAGGGUUGAGUAUUACCCUUAGGGUUGAGUGGUCUCCACACGGUAACGUAUUAAUCUAAAGGUUAGAAAUAAUUAAAGAGGUUGAUUUAAGAACCAAAAAGUCGAAAGCACCAGAUCCUCUAUACUUCCGAUAGCAUAGUAAUUCUACUAUAUAUACAUAUAUAAAAAGAAUCGAAAUAGAAAUAAAAUGAUAAUGGUACAACAAUAUAUAGAGUAUUUUAGCUCAACUCUCUCUAUUUAUAUAUAUAUAGAGUCCGGCUACUAUACUCUUAUGAGUACGAUCGCUCUCGUACUCAUAAGUUUUUUUUAAUGAUAGAGCUUCCGAAUCGAUGAUCCACACUGUUAAACGUUAUCUAGAGUAUUUAAAACGUCUAGAAAUCAAAUUUUAUAAUUUUUCGACAUUAUUUACUUUACGAUCAAAAUGUCACAAAAUUGGCAGUUUUUAACGGUCGGUAUGGAAUAUUUGCUAGUUUAAUGGUAUAAAAAAAUCAAAAUCGGCUGAAUUUUUGAUAGAAAAUUAUAUUCACUAUAUAGAUAAAGAUCACUAACUCCGAUCUUAAAUUGAAGGAUCUGAUCAUCUAUUUUUAAGACGUCGUUCGAUUUUGACUGUACUUUUUAUACCCGUUUGAUAACCUUUGUUAUGAUUUCGAAAAUUACAAAAUUUAUUUUCUGAAAGUUUCAAAUACUCUAUAUUAUAUUUAUUGGAGUGGAUCGUUGAUUCGAAAGCUCCAUCAUUGAAAAUAAUUUAUGAGUAUAGUAGCUCUAGCCUAUAUAUAUAUAUAUAUGGAAUUGAGCUAAAAUACUUUUAGAAGCACCACCUCCUUAUUGCUUCUAAGAUUUUAGCCCUGGGAUCUACUCCUUGAUUAUUAAUAAUCUUUGGAUCAAACAUUAUUCCACCUACCAACACGUACCACCAUCAUCCCAACCCUAUAUUUCUUUAUCCAAAGGUUAAAAGCUCAAAAGUACCACGUCUUUGGUACUUUUGGAAGUAUUCUAGCUCAACUUUAUAUAUAUGCAUAUAUAUGUAUAAAUACUUUUACACAAUAUAAAAAUAUUUAAUUAGAUAUUACAAAUUUU